AACACACAUGCCCAUUUCAAUUCACUUGACCAUCCUGCUUAGCACCUUGUUGAUUUCUCUGUCAGCCGUACCUCAUCCCCAAGCUCAGGUGGCACUGACGCUUUGUUGCAACUGGCUGCAGUGCCAAAUACUGUAUCCAGUACAAAAACAAACCAGACAUCUUCAUGACCAAGACUAGUGGUUGACUGGACUGUUUUAUUUUUUCCAGCACCUUUCUGUAUGACAUGGUGGCUUCUAGGCAGCAGCUGGCUACAUGGACAGGGCUUUUAAUAAUAAGGAAUUAGACAGUUAAAAUCAGCAAGAACAUCCCUAUAGCCUUCAUCUCAUCCACAUAUGCAACACAUGGGAUGUGGCAAGUUUUAGGACAAGUGAGAUUUACACAGCCAGAGAAAGGCAGGUAAUAUGGAGUUUGGCCUACUUCAAGGAGGUCCAUGCCCAACAUUCCUUGAUUGUCUUCUAAGCAGAGGAGGAAGUUACAUAUGGAGAAUUCUUAAGAUAUUCAAGAGAGGCUACAGCUGGUAGAAGAAAGGGAUUGGAGUUCACAAACAUUUUGACUUUCAUCACUGUACUGAUGGACAUUCAGUUUCUGGGAUUUCAGCGCCAACCAAUAGACGCAUUCUCUUUUUCUAAGGACUUCUUUUUGCAUACCCAAAGAAAACUUGUAUUGUGUGCCCUUGCUAUGAGGCAAAAAACAGAAUUAAAACAACAAAUUGAAUUUUGGGACUUUUCUAUCAUUACCCAUUUUGGACUAUGUUACAGAAAUGCCAUAAACUAAGUGUAUUGAUAGUGCUGUUUCUCUGUAGGAAUUGGAUUGAGAUAAUUGUCAUGUUUUAGUUCACUGAGAGGAACCUUUAUUUCGUGUGUGUGUGUGUUUACUCUUAGUAGGUGGGCAUUGAGAACUUUUAAAUGGCUGUUCAGUGCAAAGGAAACUGAAAUUUGGAAGGCUUCUAUAUAUAUAUAUAUA